rnacentral:lncRNA from 1 species
GAGCAUUACUUAAACAUUUUAAAUACAUCUUUUGAGGGAACACAUAUUGAAGUCAUCUUUGCCUUCUAUUGGAGUGGACCCUGAAAUAAAUAAGGGGUAGAAUACUUGUUGCUGUGUUGUACCUGGGGAUACAGAGACUGAAUCAUGUGGCUGGUGAAUAUUUCCUCUUGAUGUGCUGCUUGAAUAUAUAAAGAUACCAAAUUGAAAGUUACUUAUAUUCAAAGAGUAUUCUCUUGCUUGUCCUUUAAGUGCCUCACCUUUUCAUUUAUCCUCAAUAUAUUUAAGACAUUCUAUCAAUUUCCAACUAUUGUUAUGAAAUAACUGUAUCAAACUGUAGCUGGAUAUUCUAGUCUUAUCUUUUAGUUUGUCCUCUGUCUUUGGGGCUAAUAGCUCAGUAUCUUAGAAAUUCAGCAGCACAUACAUGGCAUAAACAGCCUUCUUAUGUCUUACACUGGAAGAGAUUGUUUUGAACUUUUUAUUACAAAAUAAAAAUCCAAUUGACUCUUCUUAAUGUACUAACGUGUUUACAAACUUGGGGGCUAUUUAGAAAGUGAUAUAAAUUCUUUCACAUGAUCUGAAUAUUGGUACAAAUGACGUUCAGAACAUUCCCUAUUAUAAAGACCUACAGUUUGUACAAGUAGAAUCUUUCCAUUAAACAGUCUCAGUUUCCUUAAAGUUGUUUUCUUUUCCUUUUCUUAAGUUCAGCCUUUAAUUUGUUUAUUUCAAUUUUCUUUUUCAGGAAAUAUAACCAAGAAGAGUUCUGAGAGAAUAUCCUCAUUUGUCCUUCUGGGAUUAAACAAGAAUACUGUAUUUUGCAUUCAGUGGUGUCUCAAAAAUAAUGUUCUUCAUGUUGACUCAUAUAUUGUAAGUCCAAUAUAUCUGUAGUUUUAUUAAUAUUUCUUACCUUGAAUUGCAAACUCAUUACACAACAAGGAUGUGAUUUCUGCCAAUAAGCUGUAAUUUCUAGUGCAGAACAAAGACACACUAAGCAUUUAAUGAG